GCUCGAAAAUGUGUUAUCUUUCACAGUUCUAUCAACCAGAGAUUUACCCCAAUGCUGCCAGUGGCUUGCGGGUAACAAGAAUGAUGCUUAUGGUGACCAAAGAUUAUCAGAGGGAUUUUCAGGCUGAACUGAUGGGGAAUCCAUUUCAAUGACAGCCAGUUUAAUGCUAUUUUUUCCUUCACAACAAAACAGAAGAGUCUUGAUUUGAGAUGAUACAGAACCUGAUUCCACCAACAUGCGCUUCCAACCCAUAGCUCUGCACAAGGUGAAGAUUCUCAACAAAAAAAAUACAAAGAUGUCUUCAAAAAUCCUCUGAUUUGUCAAAGUCAACAGGCUGGGGAGCUGGAUUCGCUUCAAAGUGCACCAAAUUUGCAUGAUUCGAUGUGAGGAAUCCUGGGAUUACAGAAAACACAAUUUCCACCCCCCGUUCACUGUG